AGAGUUUGAUCCUGGCUCAGGAUGAACGCUAGCGGGAGGCUUAAUACAUGCAAGUCGAGGGGUAACAUGGGAGCUUGCUCCUGAUGACGAGCGGCGGACGGGUGAGUAACGCGUAGGAAUCUACCUAGUAGAAGGGGAUAGCCCGGGGAAACUCGGAUUAAUACCGUAUACGUCCUUAGGGAGAAAGAGGGCUUAGCUUUGAUGCUCUCGCUAUUAGAUGAGCCUGCGUAAGAUUAGCUUGUUGGUGAGGUAAAGGCUCACCAAGGCUACGAUCUUUAGCUGGUCUGAGAGGACGAUCAGCCACAUUGGGACUGAGACACGGCCCAGACUCCUACGGGAGGCAGCAGUGGGGAAUAUUGGACAAUGGGCGCAAGCCUGAUCCAGCCAUACCGCGUGUGUGAAGAAGGCCUUCGGGUUGUAAAGCACUUUAAGUAAGGAAGAAAAGUAUAUUGUUAAUACCAAUGUACCGUGACAUUACUUACAGAAUAAGGACCGGCUAAUUCCGUGCCAGCAGCCGCGGUAAUACGGAAGGUCCAAGCGUUAAUCGGAAUUACUGGGCGUAAAGCGCGCGUAGGUGGUUUAUUAAGUUGGGUGUGAAAGCCCCGGGCUCAACCUGGGAACUGCAUCCAAAACUGAUUCACUAGAGUACGAAAGAGGGAGGUAGAAUUCACAGUGUAGCGGUGGAAUGCGUAGAUAUUGUGAAGAAUACCAAUGGCGAAGGCAGCCUCCUGGUUCUGUACUGACACUGAGGUGCGAAAGCGUGGGUAGCGAACAGGAUUAGAUAUCCUGGUAGUCCACGCCGUAAACGAUGACAACCAGCUGUUGGGAAGCAAUGCUUUUCAGUGGCGCAGCUAACGUCUUAAGUUGUCCGCCUGGGGAGUACGGCCGCAAGGUUAAAACUCAAAUGAAUUGACGGGGACCCGCACAAGCGGUGGAGCAUGUGGUUUAAUUCGAUGCAACGCGAAAAACCUUACCUACUCUUGACAUCCUUGGAAUCUCUUGUAAUGAGAGAGUGCCUUUUGGAACCAAGUGACAGGUGCUGCAUGGCUGUCGUCAGCUCGUGUCGUGAGAUGUUCCGUUAAGUCGGAUAACGAGCGCAACCCUUACCCUUAUUUGCCAGCGGUUCGGCCGGGAACUAUAAGGGGACUGCCGGUGAUAAACCGGAGGAAGGUGAGGACGACGUCAAGUCAUCAUGGCCCUUACGAGUAGGGCUACCCCCGUGCUACAAUGGGAAGUA
rnacentral:rRNA from 1 species